CCCUGCCACCGCCAUCCCCCAAACAAAACUAAACAAAUCCCCGCGCUCCUCCUGAAGUCCUCCAGGUCCGAUGCCCGGUGCCCCUCGAAAUCCUCCCAUCAUCUGGAAGACCGAACUUGUGGCACCCUGAAAGUCAAGCGAGGCCUUCAACAAUCCAGCAGGAGAUCCCGCCUGGGCUCCUGGCCCCUCCCUACCGGCCCUUCCCACCUGUUCCAGAGGUUCACUUCCCCACCUCUCAGUUACACAAACAAAUCUAAGAGCACAACUCCAGGAUGCUGCGCGCGCGAACACCCCCCCCCCCCACACACACACACGCUCUCCGGCCGCUCCCCCAGCCCCACUGACACCUCUGGACACCCCGCUCUCCGCCUCGCCCCUUGCACACACUCCCCCUUCCCGCCCCCCGCUAGAGAUGCUCCGCAGGGGGCUGUUUCCCUCCCCGGCCUUCGGUCCCUCCUUCGGUGUUUUCUCUUUCACCCCCUCCCCCGGGGGUGCCAACCGGUGCUGCGCGGUUCCGGGGCGCCGCUGACCCACUGCGGGCUUCUCCCCGCGCCCGGCGCGCGGAGCCGGGGCACCCGUGUCAGGCUUCGGGCACGUUUCGGAGGCGGUCCGGGCCCCGCUUCCACCGGACGAGCUUCCGGGAACCACCGGCCAGACUGCGCCGCAGGGAACCAGACGCGGCGGCCGGGGCCCAGUGGCGGCAGUCCCCGCACCCCACCUCGCCCCAACUCCUCCGGUCCCUGCACCCCGCGGCCCGCCUCGCCCCAACCCCUCCGGCCCCCGCACCCCGCCUCGCCCCAACUCCUCCGGUCCCUGCACCCCGCGGCCCGCCUCGCCCCAACUCCUCCGGUCCCUGCACCCCGCGGCCCGCCUCCCCCCAGCUCCCCCGGCCCCUGCACCCCGCCUUGCCCCAACCCCUCCGGCCCCCGCACCCCGCCUCCCCCCAGCUCUCCCGGCCCCUGCACCCCGCGGCCCGCCUCGCCCCAACUCCUCCGGUCCCUGCACCCCACGGCCCGCCUCGCCCCAACCCCUCCGGCCCCCGCACCCCGCGGCCCGCCUCGCCCCAACCCCUCCGGCCCCCGCGGCCCGCUUCGCCCCAACUCCUCCGGUCCCUACACCCCGCGGCCCGCCUCGCCCCAACCCCUCCGGCCCCCGCACCCCGCCUCCCCCCAGCUCCCCCGGCCCCUGCACCCCGCGGCCCGCCUCGCCCCAACCCCUCCGGCCCCCGCACCCCGCCUCCCCCCAGCUCCCCCGGCCCCUGCACCCCGCGGCCCGCCUCGCCCCAACACCUCCGGCCCCCGCACCCCGCGGCCCCCCACGCCCCAGCUCCUCCGGUCCCCGCACCCCGCCUCACCCCAGCUCCUCCGGCCCCUGCACCCCGCGACCCGCCUCGCCCCACACCUCCGGCCCCGCACCCCGCGGCCCCCCACGCCCCAACUCCCCUGCACCCCGCGGCCCGCCUCGCCCCAGCUCCUCCGGCCCCUGCACCCUGCGGCCCGCCUCGCCCCAACUCCCCUGCACCCCGCGGCCCGCCUCGCCCCAACCCCUCCGGCCCCGCGCCCGGCGCGCCCCCCUCGGCCGCGGUCCCCGCCGGAGCCCGCGGGCCGAGCUCCCGGACCCGCUCCCGCCGUCGGCGCUCCCUCGGCGUCGCCCGGCCUCCGACCGGCCUCCGCCCCCCCCCCCCCAACCAACACAGAAACACAACUUUUUGUGAAAAGAAAACAAACUUGA
rnacentral:lncRNA from 1 species